CGACCAGACCUGACUAACUUUAGUAAAUUUUUGUGAAGAUUGUACCAAAGUUUUGAUUUCUUGGAAGCUUUUGAUUAAUAACCAAGAUGCAAUUUGAGUUUUGUAUCGGUGAGUUCGUCACCUGGAAGUGGAGACACAACAGUCAUCGAGGCAAGCGGCGUCCGAGGUGUCGAGCUAGACCUUAGGCAAGAGAUCAAAGAGGCAUUUGAGUUGUUUGAUACUGAUGGGUCUGGUACCAUUGAUGCCAAGGAGUUGAAUGUUGCUAUCAGGAUUCGAGUCGCGCUGUUUUAAGCUCGGCCUGGUUAAGCUUGUUUUCGAGCCGAGUUCGAGUAGGUCGGGUUGUUUGCACCACCUACUUAAAAACAACC